GCCGAAGUGGCGGAAUAGGCAGACGCGCCAGACUCAAAAUCUGGUUCCUUCAUGGGAGUGCCGGUUCGACCCCGGCCUUCGGCA
rnacentral:tRNA from 2 species